rnacentral:rRNA from 1 species
GAUGAACGCUGGCGGCGUGCCUAAUACAUGCAAGUCGAGCGAACAGACGAGGAGCUUGCUGCUCUGACGUUAGCGGCGCACGGGUGAGUAACACGUGGAUAACCUACCUAUCAGACUGGGAUAACUUCGGGAAACGGGAGCUAAUACGGUAUAAUAUAUUGAACCGCAUGGUUCAGUAGUGAAAGACGGUUUUGCUGUCACUUAUAGACGGAUCUGCGCCGCAUUAGCUAGUGGGUCAGGUAACGGCUUACCAAGGCAACGAUGCGUAGCCGAACUGGGAGGGUGAUCGGCCACACUGGAGGGGGGACGCGGUCCAGGGGCCUACGGGAGGCAGCAGUCGGGAAUCGUCCGCAAUGGGCGAGAGCCUGACGGAGCAACGCCGCGUGAGUGAUGGAGGUCUUCGGAGCGUAAAGCUCUGUUAUUGGGGAAGAACAACUGUGUAUGUGAAUAAGGCCGUCUUGACGGUACCUAGACAGGAAGCCACGGCUAACUACGUG